CCUACGGGAGGCAGCAGUGAGGAAUAUUGGUCAAUGGGCGCGAGCCUGAACCAGCCAAGUAGCGUGAAGGAUGACUGCCCUACGGGUUGUAAACUUCUUUUAUAAAGGAAUAAAGUGAGGCACGUGUGCCUUUUUGUAUGUACUUUAUGAAUAAGGAUCGGCUAACUCCGUGCCAGCAGCCGCGGUAAUACGGAGGAUCCGAGCGUUAUCCGGAUUUAUUGGGUUUAAAGGGAGCGGAGAUGGGGUGUUAAGUCAGUUGUGAAAGUUUGGGGCUCAACCGUAAAAUGGCAAUUGAUACUGGCAGCCUUGAGUACAGUGGAGGUAGGCGGAAUUCGUGGUGUAGCGGUGAAAUGCUUAGAUAUCACGAAGAACCCCGAUUGCGAAGGCAGCUUACUAAACUGCCACUGACAUUGAUGCUCGAAAGUGUGGGGAUCAAACAGGAUUAGAUACCCGAGUAGUC
rnacentral:rRNA from 1 species